rnacentral:lncRNA from 1 species
AACAAACCCAAAAGGCGUCCAAGAACCCACAAAGAAACCAAAAACCAAAACAAAAAACAUAAUACCCUUACCACAACAUCAACGAAAACCGACAACAACAACGUAAGAACCCAAGAACCCAAACCAAAAACCCAAUACCCAAGAACGCAUUUACCUUGCUCCAACGAAGCUGUUGUCCGGGACUUCCCAUUUCCACCAAACGCCGACAACAGAGAACCACAAACCAAACGUCACAGAGAGAAAGUAGGGGGAGAACGACAAUGCAGGGGGAGAAUGAAAUGUGAGAGAGAGAACUAAAUCUGAGACAAAACGUAAUUGAACAGGCCAAAGGUUAUAUUUGGAACGAAAAAUUUUUCAAAAUCUUUUCGUUUUCGUGUCCAAAAUUUUUCAAAAAAAAAAACAACCAAUGGCAGCUUGACACCUGUUGGUGUAAAAUAUGUGUCAAAAAAAGUGUGUUAAAAUAACGGGAUCCAAAUAUAAUAUGGUGGUUUAAGUGGAAUUGUCGCAACAUCUAUACAAUGUGUAAAAUG